GACAUUGAAACACAGUUUCCCGUACGAUCAUCGAAGUUAAGCAACAUCGACCCUGUUCUGUACCUACAUGGGUGACCUCUUGGGAAUACUGGGUACU